rnacentral:rRNA from 1 species
UACGGAGGGUGCAAGCGUUAAUCGGAAUUACUGGGCGUAAAGCGCGCGUAGGCGGUUUUUUUAAGUCGGAUGUGAAAGCCCCGGGCUCAACCUGGGAACUGCAUCCGAUACUGGAAGACUAGAAUGCGGGAGAGGGAGGUAGAAUUCCAUGUGUAGCAGUGAAAUGCGUAGAUAUAUGGAGGAAUACCAGUGGCGAAGGCGGCCUCCUGGCUCGACAUUGACGCUGAGGUGCGAAAGCGUGGGGAGCAAACGGG